GCACUCGUAGCUCAGCUGGAUAGAGCGCUGCCCUCCGAAGGCAGAGGCCACAGGUUCGAAUCCUGUCGAGUGCGCCA
rnacentral:tRNA from 14 species